ensembl:lncRNA
GGGGCAGGCUAGUAGAAUGGUGAUGGAGGGGUAGGCUAGCAGAUUGGUGAAGGAGGGGCAGGCUAGUAGAAUGGUGAUGGGGCAGGCUAGUAGAAUGGUGAUGGGGCAGGCUAGCAGAUUGGUGAAGGAGGGGCAGGCUAGUAGAAUGGUGAAGGAGGGGCAGGCUAGUAGAAUGAUGAUGGGGGCAGGCUAGUAGAAUGGUGAUGGCGGGGCAGGCUAGUAGAAUGGUGAUGGCGGGGCAGGCUAGUAGAAUGGUGAUGGGGGCAGGCUAGUAGAAUGGUGAUGGAGGGGCAGGCUAGUAGAAUGGUGAUGGGGGCAGGCUAGUAGAAUGGUGAUGGGGGCAGGCUAGUAGAAUGGUGAUGGAAGGGCAGGCUAGUAGAAUGGUGAUGGGGGCAGACUAGUAGAAUGGUGAUGGGGGCAGGCUAGUAGAAUGGUGAUGGAGGGGCAGGCUAGUAGAAUGGUGAUGGGGGCAGGCUAGUAGAAUGGUGAUGGGGGCAGGCUAGCAGAAUGGUGAAGGAGGGGCAGGCUAGUAGAUUGGUGAAGGACCCCCUUGGGUUGUGCCGUGGCGGAGAUCUUUGUGGGCUAUACUCAGCCUUGUCUUGCUGUCCCCAGUCCACCUGGCCAUGCUGCUGCUCCAGUUUCAACUUCCACCUCACUGUGCUGCUGCUCCAGUUUCAACUGUUCUGC